UGUGAGUUCUAGUUUUGUGAUGUUGACUUUCCAUCUUGCUGUGUCAAAGAUAUUUCGGUUGGGGUGAAUGGAUACCACCUUUGUUCUUAGAGGUGUGUUGUAGGGACCUUCUUAUUACUACACAGGGGAGGUGUUUAAGUGUUCAUUUGAAAACACCAGAAGAUUUUACAAAUUUCAAAGAAAUGUAAGAAGCGUCAUUACCUUCAAAUUCCAAAUUUCCUCCACAAUGGAAAAUACCAGUUUUCUUUUAAAAGAUUGUGAACUUACCCCAAAUGACCAGAUCCACAUGUUGAACAACAAAGAAUCCUCAUUUACUAUGAGGAAUAGGGUUAAAAUAUGUUCUCCAGUGACAAAUCCCAACCCGGAACAGAUUUCAGCCAGGCAGCUAGCAAAGCUCUCGGGUGAACUGCACAGGCCAUGGUGGGUGCAGAGCUCAGAGCCGGAAAGCAAACAGCUGCUGUAGCCUGAUUUGAGUUAAAAUAGUGUGAGUGUUUAGUCUGGCGCAGGGCUUCAGGGGAGAUUGGCAGCUGGGUCAAACAAAGUCCUUCCAUUGGCUCCCUUCCCAGGCAGCUUCUGCUAGUAUUUAGGUACUAGUGCAGUGUAGGGCCCUUUUCUCAGGCAAAACCUAACAUCUGACCGCACCCUCUUUGCUAUUUCAAAAAAAAAAAAAAAAAAAAAAAAAGCUUCUUUUUCUUUUUUCCUACUUUCGUUAAGAUAAAUUCUCCAGUAGACAACUUCUCUUACUAAUUGUGUAUUAGCAUCGUAUUUUAUCUUGAGAGCUGACGCACUGGCUCUCAACAUGGUGUGGAAGGCAGCCUGUUACAGUGCUGGACUCAUAAAAGGGCCUUUAUGGUUUGUGAAAGAAUAUCUGUGUGCUUAGGCAGGAAACUUUUUGAUCUGCAGCAAAGCCAGAGGACAUCUAGACCAGAAUAGGGGUGAUCAUCUCAUUGAGAAGUAUACAGUGCGAAAAGGUUUUUCAAAACACUUCAGGAUAAAUAACAGAUGAAUUCUUAAAACUAUUAAUCUCUGACAGCCUUAAAGAUUAAUCAGAGAACCUGUUACUCAUAAAGCAAACCUUAGUAACUCAGUGAUUUUGGGGAGUGAUCUUCAAGCAUCUCCUGACUUACGACAGCCAAAGAGACCAAGUGCUUUUGUGAAUUCUCCACAUAUUUGAGUCUGUUUUGUGAAUCAAGUCAAGCACCCACAGUGAAACUCAAAAUGGGUUCAUCAAUGGGGAAGAGCAGAUUUACUCCUUUGAUCCCCCAGACAAAAUUUUAGCUUUUUCAUGCAGCAACUCAAACCUAAGGAGGAUUGCGACUAGAUACAGAACUUAACAGCACAGUCAUAAUUAUAUUACUGGUAUUUCACCCAUAAAACCUACUUUUCUUGUUUCUUAUGGACUACCAACUUUAUUUUCUCUUUGGUUAAUACAGUGUUUAUGUCAUGUCACUCCUUUCCUGCUGUACAGAGUCACCAAAGAUGGAUGUUAAGUUCAACUGGUCAAUUUCACCUACAUAUCUAAAACAUAUAGAAGGAAACAUACAUAAACUUAAGUUGAGCAUUUUAAAAAUCAGAAAUA